rnacentral:misc_RNA from 1 species
AACUUUUGGCAACGGAUCACUGGGUUCUGGCAUCAAUGAAGAACGCAGCGAAAUGCGAUAAGUAAUGUGAAUUGCAGAAUUCAUUGAAUCAUCGAAUCUUGGAACGCACAUUGCGCCCGCCAGUAUUUUGGCGGGCAUGCCGGUUCGAGCGUCAUUUCAACCCUCAAGCCCCAGCGGCCUGGUGUUGGGGACCGGCGACCUCGCUGACGCCCUUCUUGGGCCCAGCGUCCGCCGCCCCCGAAAUGAAUUGGCGGUCUCGUCGCGGCCUCCUCUGCGUAGUAGCACAACCUCGCAACAGGAGCGCGACGCGGCCACUGCCGUAAAACGCCCAACUUUUUUAGAGUUGACCUCGGAUCAGGUAGGAAUACCCGCUGAACUUAAGCAUAUCAAUAAGCGGAGGCU